GGGCCCGUAGCUCAGCAGGAUAGAGCGUUGGCCUCCGGAGCCAAAGGUCCGGGGUUCAAAUCCCCGCGGGCCCG
rnacentral:tRNA from 1 species